CAUAAACUCUCCUUACUUUUGCCUUCGCCACUUAUCUUCUUCAUCAUCCUAUUUUCAGUUCUGUCCAUGUUUUCUCUUCUACCUUUUCUGUGUGGUUCUGACAAAUCUAUGAGAAACAAUGAAGGGAGAAGAAGAAGAAGAAGUGUGAGACUGGGAGAGAAAAAUAAGGCAGUAAAAAGAAUAAAAAGUGGUUUAAGCAGUAAAGCUCUUUUGAUGGCUAAGAUGGUUUCUUGGAGAAAAGAGCAGGUUGAAGGAGAAGGCCAAGAGGAUAUUGAUUUCGGAGAUGGCGAUGAAGACGAUGUUGUUUGGAAGAGAACGAUUAUUAGAGGCGAGAAGUGCCGUCCUUUGGAUUUUUCGGGGAAAAUUUUGUAUGAUUCUAACGGAAAUCUUCUGCCAGAUUCACCUCAUCAUUCAAGUUAAGGUGAUGAACACAAUCGAUGAUUUCCUUGUUGAUUAAUGUAAGUUUCUCUUCUUAUUUUGUGUGUUUGUUUUGAGUUUUGACAAUAAUAAAGAUAUCAAAAACAGAAAAACUGUAAAAAGAUGAACAGCGUUGUCUAAAAAUCACAAAGACAACAAGAUUUUAAUUAGUACACACUGAUAUGGAUAGUCGAUAAUGAAAGAAGUCAGAAGACACUAAUCCGUGAAGACAAGAUGAUCUAGUGGUCGAGGAAGGAGGAGUUGAAGUCUAUUAGAGUAAGGCCAACCCUCAUCGAAGUUUCAACCAAUUAAAAAAAAAAGGUUCGACACCACUUUGUACACAAGAUUGUUAUGAUUCAAUUGAACUUUCGAGAUCUAUAUCGAUUCCACCUAUAUGAAAAUGUUCCCUUCUUGUCCCCUCAAAUAAUCAGUUCUCUGAUGCUGUUCUUUCUGUUUAUCCUUUCUUAAUGAAUUCAACUAUGUAUUAUGGUUAAAAAUUAUAGAAUUUACUCGAUUAAUGAGGCGUACGUACAAUUAUAUAUAAACAAAAACUACUUAUUUUUUAAUAUUGUUAAAACGCCAAAAUAUGCAACAUCACAUCAAUAGAAUAAAUGGAAAACGAGUAAACUUGGAAUAAGAUCAUACAGCCAAGACUUUGUGGCAUUAAUUUGGAACAAUGACGCCAAAAAUUUUAUAAUUGUAUUUUGAUGGAGAAUGUAUGAUUAAAAA
rnacentral:lncRNA from 1 species